rnacentral:rRNA from 1 species
UACGGGGGGAGCAAGCGUUGUUCGGAUUUACUGGGCGUAAAGGGCGCGUAGGCGGCCACCGCAAGUCGACUGUGAAAUCUCCGGGCUUAACCCGGAACGGUCAAGUGAUACUGUCGGACUAGAGUACAGAAGGGGCAACUGGAAUUCUCGGUGUAGCGGUGAAAUGCGUAGAUAUCGAGAGGAACACCUGCGGCGAAGGCGGGUUGCUGGGCUGAUACUGACGCUGAGGCGCGAAAGCCAGGGGAGCGAACGGG